GGUCUGAGAAAAAUGGAGGCAAGCCGGUGCGCAUCGCCGCUUUAAGACUUCGCUUCCUAGCCCAGUCUCGGCCUCCGGGACCGUGCGGAGAUGGAAAGAUUCAGCCCGGGCAAUGGAAGUAAUAGCGGAGCGAAUCCGACCCUCUGCAAAACGCAGCCAAAGCAGCCUUGGGAGGGGAGGCGGUCGCCCGCCGGUCCUGUAGAACCUCCUCAUCCACCCACAUCCCAGGGAACCGGUUUAGUCUCGCGUUCCUACCCCAACCCCCACAAAGGACUUAGUAAGAGGAGUUUAACAGGAACCUCGAAAUGGGUAAGGAAAUCCAGUUCUGUUCUGCGAAUUCGAUAUUAUUCCCUUUGGAAUCAUUGCUAUUAUUAUGAAGGGUGGCAGAGAUUUCAUGUUGUUUUGCAGGCCGGUCCUUCUCCGGAGUGGAUCCUAAGUAUGAUUCCUCCGGAGUCGGUCUCUCCACCGGAAUCAAUGGGCCUUCCUUUCCAGAAGGAGCGGCUGGAGAAACACAGCGCCUAGUCUGCGCUCCUGAAACGCCCCUUCCCGGGGGUUUGCCCCCCACUGAAGUUGCUGCCAUUGCAGCACGUGAAAGAAGAGCGGAGAGAUCCUUAAUAGUGCAAAAUGCCCAGUUUUUCAAUAGCAUUGGGGGAGUGAAAAAAGAGAGACUUGCUUCUCUUAGUCGUUGCAAACUCCACGUGCCUAUAUCCUUCUCCUGUAAUUCUCCUGGUGUGAAGCUGGGGGCGGGACGCCGUCCUAGGAGAGGAGAGGUGGGGGGGGGAGGGGGAAAAGUCACGAAUUCAAAUCCACCCAAGAGGAACCCCAGAGACAGGUGAAAAGAAGUUUGCACGCGAUCCAGAUUGGGUCCCCCCCCAAUUUACUGCCGCAGAAAGGCGAGGAAGAUGGGGAAUGCUCGUGGAUUCACAACAAGGAAUAGGGUCUUCUCAUCUCCCCCCACCCGCUCCGGGCCGCAAAGAAAGCGAAGAGGAGGAGAAGGGGCGCAGCGUGCAGCAAGGCUGGUUCUCGGAUCAACAGGUGCAGGAGCGCUUCUGAUCGCAGCCAGGCAAGCAAAGCAGCGAGGAGAAAUUGACAACGUGUUUGUUUUCCUAACGAAGAUCAAGACUUGGGAGCGACUUCAGUCAAGAUUCGGAUUAUUAUUUUACCGUCCCUUGUUUUGGGGGAAAGGUCUGGGGUGGGAGCCUAAUUUUACGGUGGAAUCUUAAACUCAGAGAUCACGUCGAUUCCCGGGAGAGACAUGUAGCCCCUAUCCUGUAUGCAGAAUUUAUUGGAAGUAACACCUGCCGACCUCAGUAGGACCUACUCAGGAGUAAGAAUGUGUAUUCAGUUCGCAGCCUUGUUCUUAGGACAGCCUGCGACAUUCAUCUGGAAGUAAAUCCCAUUCCCAUUGAACUCAGCGGGGCUUCUUUUCCGAGAAGACAUGGGUUGAAUUGUUAGGCUCCAAUCCCAUACUCGCUUAUCUACUCGAAAGUAAACCCGGAUCAUCUUGUUUCCUAGUCCUAGAUGCAAAAAUAGAACUAGGCUGUUUGUUUCAAAUUCUCUGGGCUGUUUGCAGAAUGAAUUAUUUCGGAGUGAGUGGGUGGGUUAUAUGAUAAAAAACCCUUGUCUAGUUUUUUUUUUUAAUUUAAAGAGUUUCUAGUUCUUGCAGAUAGACACGAAAUUCGAGGCUUAUUUUACUCCCUCAGCGGGGGAAAAUCAAAUAUAUGGAAAGGCAUUGCUUUUUAAAUAAAUGAUUUGUGAAACUAUAAAAGGGUUCAAGAAUAUAUAAAUCAGUUUGUAAACACGAAGAGGGCUUCUGUGCCUGGAAAGCUUGGCAUCCCUGUCUCAGUGCAAUCCUGAACGUGCCUACUCAGAAGUAAGCCCUGCUGUGUUUUAGGCCUCACUUAGGACUCUGGUCCGACUGAACACAGAGAAUCUUUCUAGCGGUGAAGUGCAGCGCCUAUAAAUGUGUCUACUCAAAAGUAAAUCCCUCUGACUUUUCUGGGACUUCAUCCCAGGUGUGUGCAUAUGGGUUUUCUAGUUUUAUGCCAGCCGGGUAAGUGGAGUUAAGGGUUGGCAUCGAAGCCUCCCUCCGGGUGCAUUCACACGCAUAGCUGCCGCUCAUCAGAUAUACGAGGGACCAGUAAGCUCAUGUGCAUCAAGGGUGUCCAGCAGCUUAAGAACACGGACAUUUGCACGUGUGAAUCUCACUCACCCUUAAGGCGUUUCAUACGUGCCUUGCAGCAUGGAAGAGAGAAUAAGCAUGUCAGAACAACUGUGGCAAAGGCUCUUGGUAGGGAACACAGCCAGCUUAUUUUGUCCCAUUGCUGUCGAUUACAUUAAUAGCGAUUUAUUAUUAUUAUUACUAUGAUCGAAUAAAAUUGUCAGCGAGACACACAGUAGGACAGACCUCUCUCCCUAUCUACAGCUACAGGGGAUUUGUCCCGGCAGAGAAUCGGGCUGUUGAGCCCCCGUCCGAUAUCUGUAGAAAUAAUAUGUUCACGCUUCUCAUAUCUAUGUGGAUCAGUCGAUGUGCGCUGGGGCCAUCUGAUAUGAACAGGUCACAAGCAGAACGUGGGGUGGGGAGCUCCAUUAUGGCACCCCAGAGGCGGAAAACGGUCCCAAAGGAGUUUCUCUUGGAACCCACUGUCUAAUUGUCACUGGGUACACUGGGAUUAGUCACAGUCUGACAGCCUAACCUACCUCACAGGUUCUACCGUUACAGGUAGGUAGCCGUGUUGGUCUGGCGUAGUCGAAACAAAAUACAGUUUCUUUUCUUCCAGUAGCACCUUAGAGACCAACUAAGUUUGUCAUUGGUAUGAGCUUUCGUGUGCAUGCACACUUCUUCAGAUACCUCACAGGGUUGUUGUGGAGAGGAGGAAAGCCGUGUUCGUCACCUUGAGCUCUUUGGAGGAAGAGGGGGGGUAGAAAUGUAGGCUUCUGUCACACACACACACAAAAGCAUUUUCCAGAGUGUUUUCAGAUGCAUUUGUAAUCCUAUUGUUUUAUACUGUGAUGAUGAUGAUGAUGAUGAUGAUGUGGCCCAUUCAAGCAAAGUUCUCCAGGCGGAUCACCUAAAUUUCAUGCGGAACUAAGAGCAAAAUAAUAAUAAUAAUAAUAAUAAUAAUAAUAAUAAUAAUAAUAAUAAUAAUAAUUUCCUGACUUUUAGCAUAUAUGUUUUGCAUUUUACUUUUAAUGUAGACUUUAAUUGUUCUGUCCUUCUUUUGUAAACAGCCCCGGGAACAUGAAUGAAAGGUGUUAUUUAACAAAACACACAACCCUCCAUACUUCUGAAUAAACAAGUGAAACACGUGCAUUGACGAUGCUGUAUAAAUAAAGGAUUCUUGAUUGCAGAACAAAUAGUCUGGGCAUUUCCCUCCAUUUAAAGACCCUCAAAUAAACGUUGGAAUUUUUUUUUGGGGGGGGGGGAACCUACAUCUCUGAAAUUAUUUCAAGACAUCAGGAUACUAUAGGCUACUGCACCAACUGAGAACACCACCUUGUCUACUCAGAAGGAAACCCAUAUGAAUUCAAUGGUGCUUACUCGCAGGAAAGCUAUUGGUGCAGUUUCAAAGAGGUACAGAUUCAAAAUGACACCCAAACAUAGAUGAAAACCUGCUCCUUGAUCUCAGGAACCAACAUGCAGAAUUUGGUUAAGACCAGCACAUAAGAGGGAACCAUUUAAAAGUCUCUUACCUUGUGGAACUCCCUUCUGAGAGAUAUAUGGCUUGCUCCAUCAAUCCAGGAACGCUGGGAGUUGUUUACGGGAAGCCUGUCGGGAAGAGGCUCAAUGGCUGGCUCUCGUUGGUUGGGAGAGGAGAUCGGUAUCCGUCGAAGGUGCGUGGAAUGCUUCCGCUGGUGGAGCCUGAGCUAUUGCUGAGCGUCUCGAUGCUUCCUUCUCGCUGUAGCUCUGUAGUGGGGAGAGAAAAGGAGGCACCACUCUGGUCAGUGCUUCAGCUGAAGAAGCCAGAGACCAUCUUGGCUGUGAGUCCUAGGAGAUCUGCUCCCUACCUUGCAGGCCUUUUCCACCUGGUGUGAGAGGGUGGGGCCCGGACUGACUCCAGCUACAAAAGGUGAGGUUGCUGAAUAAACUCUUAGGCCGGGGUGUUUGGGUUUCUUUGUUGAGCACUGCUGUUUUUUUUGUAUUUUUAUUUUAGAUUUUGUUGUGAUUGACUACUUUUGCUAUGUUGUGGUUAUGUAUUUGUUUCAUGUUGUAAGCCGCCUUGAGCAUGGUUUGAACUGUGGAAAGGCAGUGUACAGUUAAAAUUAUGCAUGCAUGUAUGUGUAUCCUUAUUCUCUCAUGAGUUCAGAGAUUGCAAAACUGCAGUGUAGCUCUGCAAUGAGUAGCAUAUUCCGCACUAAUGCUAGUCUUAUCCUGUCUGAUUUGGCUCCUUUUAUCUUCCCCUCAUGCACAGCUGGCUCUGGUUAAACAUCUCGCGUCACUCCACGGGUCGCCGUCAGCAGGGAGACGGAAUGUGGGCAACAGCUCCGCCCAAACAUUGCUUUUUUGGCUUCUGAACUCCUUACAAGGUUCCCUGUCUCUUCCUUUAAAGAAAAAAAAAACCCAACAACCUAGUAUUGAUUUUCAUGCCAAUGUUGCAUUUUUUUUCUUUUUUAACAGAAAGAAGAAAAAAGCAAGGUUGGGAACAGGGAAGCAGAUGUUAAUAUUUGCUGAAUCCUGGUUGUCUGUGAAGAUGGAACAGUGACCUGCUUGCCAAAGUAGAGAGAAGCUCUUUGGGGUGAGGAAGAGGUGACCUGAGGGGCAGCGGAAGCUGGUCCAUUAGGGCAAAUGGGGCAGUGCCCCUUCAACCUCAGCCUGCCUCUUCUUCCUGCCUUCUUUCUUACAACCGGCCCAGGGGAUGGCACUGGCUGAAACUUGCCUUAGUCUUGGUUUUGCCCUUCUAUGGAGGGAUGAUUGGAGCCAUGGUCUGAAUAUUUACCCAAAAACUGCUUCUCUGCCAUUUCCAGCCACAACUUCUAGUCUUGCCGUCUGGGGCAAGAAAGAGCUAUUUUUCUCCAUCUGCUGUGUGGCAGCCCCUCCGAUAUUUGGAGCCUGCUGUUGUGUUCCCUCUUGUCCUUCUCUACACCAGGCUACCGAUAAAUAGGUCCACCUCUUCCAAAUCAUUUUUCUUCUUGAGACCGCCCCCCCCAUUCUCUUGGUCCCUCCUCCUUUGGGCACACUCACCAGUGCCCUUGUUAAACUGUGCUGCCCAGAAUGGGCAUGGGACUCCUGAUCCACCCAUCCCAGCACUGAAGGUUCCAACAGUGCCCCACCUACAUGUCAGGGCUAGAGCACCUGUAACCCCCCAGACAUUGUUGGACAUUGACUCCCACUGGCCCUAGACAGCAUGGCCAAUGGUCAGGCUCUCACAGGAUGUUGUGAUGGCCACCAACUUGGAUAGCUUUGAAAAAGCGGGUUAGACAAAUUCAUGAUGGAUAGGACUAUCAGUGUCUGCUAGCCAUUAUAGCUGUAUACUACCUCCAGUGUCAGAGGCGAUACCGGUUGCUGAGAAUCACAAGGGGGAGGGUUGCUGUUGCAUUCUGGUUCUGCUUGAGGGCUUCCCAUUGGGGCACUUGGUUGGCCAUUGUGAGAACAGGAUGGUGGACUAGAUGGGCCUUUGGCCUGAUCCAGCUGCAGGCUAUGUUCUAAUGAUGGGAGCUGUAGUCCAGCAACAUCUGGAGGGCAGCAGGUUUCCCGCCAGUAAUCCAGGAAGCUCACAAGUUGUGAUAGCCACCAUCUGCUGGGAAUCCUCAGAAGCAGCUUCCCAUCUUUCUGCCCUCCUUAUUCCAGCAUUGUGUGUCAGGCAGCCUCUUGUGUUGAGGAUCCCUCCACUUUUGCCCUGGCUAAGUACCCUUUGCCUUUCCUAUUCAACAGCUGGUGUGCAUGCCUCUCCAUCAACCUCUUUUGACCUGUUUCCUCCCACAGUAGAUGACAAGCUUAAUUCCCCGCCCCCAGUAGGUAUUUUUGGCACAGGCAGAUCAAUACCAAGAGCUCUUAGUAACUGCCACGGGACACCCAACCAAAGCAAGAAAGCGUGAAAAAGAGACAUUUAGAGAGAAAGAGAGAGAGAGAACAACCAUCCCACCUUCACUUUCAAGGUGAGAAUGAUUGUGAACCGCAGCACCAGCACAGUGGAAGCCUCAUCACCCCAAGAGCAACUAGUUAAGCAGUCGGCGCAGCAGAAGUUUGACAUGCUUGAAACAAAUAUUGGGGGGAAACACAAGGAACAGUCAAGGAGGCAGGAAGUUGAAUAUUCUGAGCAGGCAGUUAAAGAAAGCUAAGUGCAAAUAUAUAUGUGUGAAUAGUUCCCACAAUAAAUUUUCUCUAGUCAAAAUUCAUUGCACCUGACUCUAAAUUCUCACUAGGUGAAAUCAGCCGACAAAUCACGAUGGACUAUCCUACCGCAUAAUGAGAUGGGAAUGAGGCAGGAGAGUCCCAGGGCAGCAGACUGGACUGUACCACUUUUUACUGGCAGGUGGGAGAAUCAUGUUUGUGAGUAACAGCAGCACAUCUGCUGCUAUGAUAGGCAGGGAGAGUUUGGGUGGUGGUGGUGGUGGUGGUACCAAGACCCUCCAGGGAUUUGGGGUUGGUCUAGGACCCAGGGAGGCACAGGUUGAGCUCCUCAGUCUGCCAUGAAGCUCACUGGGUGACGUGGAGUUAAUUACUGUCUUUCUCAGCCUAGCUACAAAUUCUGGAAUCUGUUCUCACAGGAUGGCUUUGAAAGGAUAUUAAGAGAAGGCUGAAAGAGAAGGCUAUUGAUGAGAGAUCAUCAUGAGAGGUCUGCUAUAGAGGGGCUGCUUUCCCUCCUGGGGAACAUUCUGGGGGCCACUUGCCAGUAAUUGGUGAGGCCUGAGGCAAACGUGGCUGGAUCCGUAACUGUGACACUUAUUUUUCACAGCAGGCUACAUUCCAGCCAUGCUAAAGCCAGAGGUUUUACACCCUACCAUGCUGUCCCCCUUUAAAGAACAGGAGAGACCAGUGCCAAUCACCAUGCGCCUAUCACACGCCUUGCAUGUGCAGUAAUUACAUUGCAGCCCUGAACAUAUUCCAAAAGUUGGACUACCAGAAGCCCAUAGGACCCUCAGAACCGAAAAGAGACGGGGGAGGAGAAAGAGAGAGCGGUUGAAGAGAUUGGGAAUAUCCGCCUGGAGUCGUUCUGGGUACAGCGGAACUUGCCUGCAUCACCUCUCUGGAAAUUAUUGAAGUGGGAUGGCGAUACUUACCUUACUUUGAUGGGCAUCCUUUGACUUGGUGGAUGGAAGAGAGCACUGGAUGUGGCUGGAUGUUUGCGUUUUUGUUUUAAAAAACAGGAAUUACCUUCUCAACCUUACAGGUGGUCCUGCUACUUUUGGGCUGAGGUGUUUGGGAGUGGUUGCAUUUGGAUGCGGCGAUGGUUGCAGUGCCUGUUCUGUGGAUAAACAGAGUGCUGUGUUCAUUUGGAGGGGGGACUAUGACAUUUUUUCUAAAGAAACCCCAAAGCAGUAAAGAAUCAAAACUGGAUGUUUGGAGAAGGUGAAGCUUGCCGCAAGUUUGGAGAUUUGGUUAUUUGUCAUUAAGGAGUGGGGCUUGGAGUUUGCUCUGUGAUAAAUAAAUAUUUGCAGCCCCAAUAAUUGCUGGUGUGGUAUAGCGGUGUGUCAGACUCGUCCAGGGGUGACCAACCUUUUUGGAUUACUGGGCACAUUUUGAAUUUUGAGGGAGCGCCGAGGAUGCCGCUCACAAAAUGGUUGCCACAGAGAGCAUGGCAUAACACAAAAUUAGAGAGACAACAAUCCCCGACAACCUUAUGCUUAUCAUGGAAGGUCAGCUGUGCCUGUUGGUCCUGAUUAUAGAGUCGUACACAUGAAUGCAGUUGCUGUCAAAUAACAGGGAGCAUUCCUCAGUGCCAGGGAAAAUGUACAAGUUACAUCAUUCUCCUUUUACAAAAAUUGCUUGACAUUUUUAAAAUGAAAGCUCAGAGUCUGGGGCAACUGGGUUGGUGACCUCUGGGUUGGUGACCCAGCCUACAAAGACUGGUGUUCAAAUCCUCACUCAACUAUUGGAGCUCCCUGGGCGACAUUGGGCUAGUCACUGUCUCUCAGUUUGACCUACCUACAGGGUUGUUGUAAGGAUAAAAUGGGGAGUUGGGGAGCACCAGGUGUACCAGCUUGAGUAAGCACCUUAGAAGAAAGAUGGGCUUUAACAGCAGCAACAGCAACAUUAAUAAUGUUUUAGGCAUUUAUAGCCCCCUUUUAAAGCACUUCAUCUAGGCUAGGGGGUAGGGAAGCUUUUUCAGCCUGAGGGUCACAUUCCUUUCUGGGCAGCUACCCAGAGUUCACAUGCCAUUGGUGGAUGGUGCCAGUUGCAAAAGUGGGUGGAGCGAUGAGUAAAUUUUACAGCGGGUUAAUUUCUACGCAUGCUCCUCUCUCGAUCCUCCACCCAGGCAAGCAAGGGGCAUUAAUAGAGUUAAAAUACACAUCUCAGCCAGGCAAAGAAACACAGAGAGGGUGCAGGAGGGCUAGUGAGGGAUGUGGCUUGCAGAGAUUUUGUGGGGUAUGGGGAGAGUCUCGAGGGCCAGACAGAAAGGCUUGGAGGACCACGUUUGGUUUCUGGACCUGAAGCUCAUUGGUGGUGUUGAGGAGACCAGGUUGGGGAAGAUUGGUAGAAAAUACAUAGCUGGAUAAGUGGUCUGACAUGGUAUAAGGCCAGGGACGAGGGACCUGUGACUCUCCAGAUGUUCUCAGACUCCAUUCUCAAUGGCCAGCAAUUAGGGAUUAUCAUUGUUUUACCAAUUUAUAUGACAGUUGCAGUCCAGCAAAAUCCGUAGGGCCAGAAAUUCUGCAUCCCUGUACUAAGCCAACCCCUGUGUCCUUGCAUUAGUCUUCCUGGGUAAGCGGAGAAAAAAACUUAAUUUGGCGGCUAGGACAAAGUCUGAGAACAGCUGGAUAUAACGAAUUUUCAUUCGCCUUUGCUUUUAGGAUCUUCUUGGAACAUGGAGCUGCCAUCAGUCAUUAUCUUUUGUCUGACUUAGACCCAGAGCCAUCAAAGGACUCCACGGAAAUCUUAAAAGGAAAGAAGGUCCCGGCUGGCUUUGCUUAAACCUGAAACCAUUUUUAUACGGGACAUUAAUCCGGGGCCUGCUCAGAAACUCUAUGUAGUCCUCCGUUGCCUGGAACACUCAUAAAUUGUUCUGCCUCUCUCCCCUUUCUCCCCCCCCCCUUUCCGUCUUUCUCUCUCUCUUUCUCUCUCUCUCAAUUGUGGAAUCUGCUCUCUGGUGUAUUAGCCCUCCUAAUGGUUUUUCCUUUCUCUCGCUUUCCCUGACAGAAGGAAUUGCUGAGCAGAAGAUUCAAGAAAUAUCCUACUUGGUAACGAAGAGGGAGGAUACUGGGGGGUGGGGAGAAAGGGAUUUGCUCCAAAAGCUGUUCUGUCCCUCUCUGUGCCGCCCGCCCUGCCAGGGUUGCACCAUUUCCUGCAGAGACGCAGGGUGGACGAAAUGAUACAAUGACAGUCGGGGCCGAUGUGUUGGCGGCAGGGGAAGCAGAGCGGCGGCAGGCACAACUUCGGAUCCCAGGAUUCUCCUUCCUCCUCUCCACCUGUCACAACGCAUUAGGCUCAAGCGUGCCCAGCUUGCCGAAGGAGUGACCCCAGACUGAAUGGGAGAGCGCUGGUGGAAAGAACUAAUUGUAGCCUCGUUUUCACACGUCAGUCACUUUUCACAGCGCUGGGCUUUCUGAAGCUCGACUAAUAUUCCCCCCCCCUUCAAAUCCCUGUGCUGAAUUACGCUGAGAUGCACCCUGAUGAUGGCAUUUCUAAAAGGAACAAGACCUCCAAUGGUGGCAGGAGUGGGGACAAUGGGAAGUGGCGCCUGCUGGCCUGGUAAGUUUAUCCACCCGUCCACCCUGCUCUUCCUAGAAGUUCAGGCACCGUUCAGGUCAUUCAUUCGAGUUAUUUACUGCCCCUUGUACAAGCCUUAGGGUGGCUUAUGACUAAAUCAGAUAAGAUUAAAAGAAUACAUGUGUGAACCCCCCCCUAAAUUAACAACACAACUCAAAGCAAACCACCAAACUGCAAUUUACUCAUCUAACUAAGCCAUUUGUCCAAUCAGGUUUCCUGAAAAUUCCAGCUGAAAAGUGUGUCUUAACCAGCCACCUUAAACUUUGAAGAGGUGGGGCCAGGCAUACCUCAGUAGGGAAGUGAGUUUCACAGGCAAGGAACCACCACUGAAAAGUCCCUUCCUUGGAGCCCUAAACCAUGCUUGCUUCAGUGUAAGGACAGCCAAGAGGGCCUCAUUUCUCAAUGCACUGGCAGGUUGAUAUGAGAUUAUGGGAGGAAAGGUUCAGGGGAAUCUUUAAGGAAAUGCAUAACUCCCUGAUUUCUGCCCCUCCCUGUGAUUUUAGACAAGUUAUGUCUCUCCUAUAGCCUUCUAAAACAUUAAUUGAAGAAGCCAAGGCACCAUCUGACCCCCCUCUUACUCAGAUACUUAGCUCAGGGUAGAGUGAAUGGAUUCAUCAUCACAGCAGCCCUAUAUACAGAAUACUUUGUUAAGCCCAUCCACAAAGACUAAACUUUUAAAUUUUCUCUCCUCCACAAGAGAUGAGACUCUCGCAGAACACCAAAGGCUGCACCCAAUGUCGAAUCCUUCAUUGGUUUGUCCACAUGGGCACAAUCACACAAUUAUGGGAUGCACAAAAGCCCACAUGAAUACUGAAGCAAGGAGCAGGUUUGUCAUCAAAUUUUGGCUGACUUGUAUCUCAAAUACAACAUUUAAAAAACAUUUUGCACACCACUGAGUAUCAGUGCUCCGUUAAGAUAAAUGAGCCAUGUAUGGAGAAGCAAGGAAGCCAUACAGUUUGACAGAUAUCCAAAUAGACCACAACAGGGAUUUCAGAUGAGAGAGUUUUCCACCCAACCCCCUUCCUUUGACAAAAAUAGAUUUAGUUUAGGAUUUAUUUAUUUUUUAAAGGCUUUUGUGGUUCCCCCCCCCUUUUUGUUAAAGAGCACUGAUGACUUGGUCUGUCAAAGCUUUAGUCUUCAGCCCUUUGGAACUUCUCCAAGUUUGACUCGGCACAAUUUCUGGAAGGUUAAAAGUACACUAGAUAAAGGAGCAAGUGUUUUAGAGAAACAAUUCCCUCCACAAUAGGCACGACAAUCCCAUUUAUGUCGCUGUGUGCUUUAGGGGAAAGGGAGUUAUUUCCUGCUUCCUGGCGUUUUACAUCGCACAUCUCUUUGCACAACCAGCAGAACCCUUUAACGCGGGCGAUAUCAGACCUGGAGGAAAAUGCAGCCCACUAUGUGGCCCUCAAGACCCUCCCUGGACCCCAUCCCAGCCCUGCUCCAUGCCCUCCUUGAGAGUUUCUGCCUGAUGGCCUGAGUCCUUGGACUGGGAUCAGGCCUGGUGUUUGCAUGGCUGGAAUGUAACCUGUACAAAGUACAACUCACAUUGGUUGCUCUGGCCACUUUUGCUACUAACCUGUGUCCCCCACCUGCACGUUACCCUUGAGUCGGCCACUGGGCUGACAAAGGUUCCUCACCCCCUGCCUUGAAGAUCUAAACCAGAAAUGGGAAUCUGUGGCCCUUCAACUGCCAUAACCCCUAGGCAGUACAUCCCAUGGGUGCAGUGGCCCAACUACCUCUCAGGACCACAGGUUUGCCAUUCCUGCCCAUAACAGUUGGGAAGCAGGGCCUCUCAGGGACUAUUUCCUCUCUUUUAAGAUCUCCAGUCUGCUUUGAGAUCCUUGCGAUUCUGCUGCUGAAAGAUGUUGGGAAUAAGAAAAUAUCCUUUCAAUGGGAGUGUUAUGGAACAGCCCCCCCCCCCCGGCGAGGUGUGUUUUCCCCAUACCUCAUUGCCUGCUUUUAAGCAACUACUUAAGACAGUGUAAUUUCAGCUUCUCACGGGAUUAAGUGAUGCAUAUACGGGCACACAUACCCGUGCCAGUAUAUCAAUGCAAGAAAUAAAUAACAAUGAAAAGUUAAGUAAUAUUAUUGUUAAUAAUUUAUAAAUUAGUUCUGGGCAAGACUUGAUCACUUGUGAUCCUUUGAAAACUCCACUGCUGCCAACCUAAAAAAGUGUUCUGGCAAGCAGAAGUACAUUAUAGAAACAUCAGAUGGAGCCCCGCUGGAUCCGGCCAAAGGCCCAUCUAGUCCAGUAUCCUGUUCUCCCAGUGGUCAAUCAGAUGCUUAUGGAAAUCUCACAAAGCAGGACCUGAGCACAAGAGCACACCCCAGCAUGUGACUUCCAGCAUCUGGCAUUCGGAGGCAUACUGCCUCCCACUGUGUCUUUACUGCUGUGUCAACCCAACUGUCUAGGGAAAACAGGAGAAAAGCUGGCUUAGAGGUACAAAGUUCCUAAAUCAGGCAAUUACAUCAUGGUCUGAGCUUCAUUUGACCAAUAUGCUGACUAAGGGAUUUCAGACACACUUUAACCUCAAAAUUUUAGCAACUCCUUUCAUGUGUAAGACCUGGUCUCCCUCUCCUCCCGCCCUUUUCCAAUUUUGAGGUUAUUUGUGUUUCUGGAUCCUUUAAUGAACAUCUACUUUUAGCAAGUAAAACAUGGAGAGUAAGUUACCUACUGGAAAAUGCUAAUGGGAGCAGAAGCCCAACAAUGACACUAUCAGCCUGACCGAGGGGUAAACCCCCAAGACUGGACCAUUUCAGGCUGUGUGUGGCAAAGAAUGUCAUGUUUUUAUAGCAUCAGUGAUGGGAACCUCAGGUCUGGGUGGUGAGAGUGACUCCCCUCUCUGGUCUCACUAUCUUGCCCAGGCCAAGCCAAGUGAAUGAAGAAAUGUGGUCCGUGGGCUGUAAAGCCUUUCCCCAUUUUAUAAGCUUUACCACUUUAAAAAAAAUCCCUUACAUGUAGCAAUUAAAUAAAGGAGAGGGCCUUUUCCAUGUGCUCUUUUUAUAAAUGCAGAGGUUUUUUUUUAAGGGGCAGACUGAUGUAGUUGAGACUGCUCAUGUUUGAGCCCUUCCAGGCCUUGGAAAAAUGAGGUCUCUUCAAGUGGCGGGGAGCAGGACCCCAUAGCAGAGCUCCAUAUAGACUGAAGGGCCACUGAAUCUGGACCGUUCCGCUCAGGGCUACAGGUCCCCACAUCAGUGGCCUGGAUGCCUGACCAUCUCAGACUCUCGUCCCACAGAGCAGAGAUGAGUCAGGCAGCAGCUUAGGUCCAGCUAGCUUUAUGUGAGGUUCCUCAGGAGGAGGAGGAAGUGUAUGGAAGCACAUGCCUGGAUCAGGGCCUGGCAGACAGCCAGGAAGGGAAUGGAGCCCUAAACUCCCAAUAUAAACUCUCUGCCCGAGCUACUUUUGCUGAAGCAAAAGCUCUCUGUUCCAAGCUCCAGCCUGCCUGAAGUGGGUUGGGUUGGGGGUGGCAUGGUUGCCUGAUGUUUCAAAUACCCAUCUGACACCCAUCAAAAGGCCGUAGUGACUUGACACUCUGCAACCCCUUGAGGACACUGCCAGUCAAACAGCUGAACCACAGACCGUAACAUACUC